rnacentral:rRNA from 1 species
GAUGAACGCUGGCGGCGUGCCUAAUACAUGAAAGUCGAGCGAACGGACGAGAAGCUUGCUUCUCUGAUGUUAGCGGCGGACGGGCGAGUAACACGUGGAUAACCUACCUAUAAGACUGGGAUAACUUCGGGAAACCGGAGCUAAUACCGGAUAAUAUUUUGAACCGCAUGGUUCAAAAGUGAAAGACGGUCUUGCUGUCACUUAUAGAUGGAUCCGCGCUGCAUUAGCUAGUUGGUAAGGUAACGGCUUACCAAGGCAACGAUGCAUAGCCGACCUGAGAGGGUGAUCGGCCACACUGGAACUGAGACACGGUCCAGACUCCUACGGGAGGCAGCAGUAGGGAAUCUUCCGCAAUGGGCGAAAGCCUGACGGAGCAACGCCGCGUGAGUGAUGAAGGUCUUCGGAUCGUAAAACUCUGUUAUUAGGGAAGAACAUAUGUGUAAGUAACUGUGCACAUCUUGACGGUACCUAAUCAGAAAGCCACGGCUAACUACGUG